CGACUUUUAAUCCCUUGUUGUAACAGCAAAAUGAUGCCCCGCGAUCGAUUUAGGAACCGCGGUGGUGGAGGAGGUGGAAUGAGUAUCUAUCGUCGCGGAAACGGUGGCCGCGGAGGAGGGAUGCCAAAUUACCGGGGAUCGGGAUACAUGGAUUCUAACCGGGGCCCCCAUCAAAAUCAGCAGCAGGGUCCUCCGCAGCAAAAACAGCAACAAGACAAGCAGCCCGCCCAACAGCAGCAAAAACAGACUCCUGCUCAAGAGCAGAAACCCGCACAACAGCCACAGGCUGCAACCAAGCCCCAGGAUUCCCAGGCUCCUCAGCCCCCGGCCCAGUCCCCACAGUCCAAGCCCGCUCCGUCCCCACAGCAGAAACCGGGCACCACUCCCCAGCAGCAACAAAGCCAACCUCAGUCCAGCCCUGCUAAACCAGUGCCCCAGACACCGCCCCAGCAACUACAGAAGCCGCCCCAGCAGCCACAGCAGCAGAAACCCGCGCCUCCUAAUAAUGCUUCUUCACAGGCCAAACCUGGGCAACCCCCUGUCCACCAUCACCAACAGCAGCAGCAGAGGUCUAGGCCUGGAAUGAACCAAGUCGGACAAAAGAGGCCGCAUCAGUCCCGCUUCCAGUCUCAGCCCCCGCCCCAUGCCAUGGAGUCGGAUGCCGCUGAGGAGAAAUCAAGCGCAGACGAUGUCUCCGGAUGGAGCGAUGGUGUAAGGGCUACACUUUCACUUCUGAAAAGGCCAGGAGAGAAGACCUACACUCAGCGCUGCAGGCUGUUUGUUGGCAAUCUCCCAACUGAUAUAAACGACGAUGAAUUUAAGAAACUGUUUGAAAAAUAUGGGGAGCCAGGGGAGGUGUUCAUUAACAAAAGUAAAGGCUUCGGCUUUAUUAAACUGGAAACUAGAGCAUUAGCAGAAAUAGCUAAAGCAGAGCUUGAUGACUUACCAAUGCGAGGAAGGCAACUACGUGUGCGGUUUGCAACACAUUCAGCUGCACUCUCUGUUCGCAAUCUAUCUCCAUUUGUUUCUAAUGAGCUACUGGAAGAAGCCUUUAGUCAGUUUGGACCAGUGGAGCGAGCUGUAGUUAUCGUGGAUGAUCGAGGGAGGUCAACGGGAAAAGGAAUAGUUGAGUUUGCAGCAAAACCAGCAGCCAGAAAGGCACUUGAAAGAUGCACUGAUGGAGUUUUUCUUCUGACCACUACCCCAAUGCCAGUUAUUGUUGAGCCCCUUGAACAAUUUGAUGAUGAAGAUGGGCUGCCUGAGAAACUUGCACAGAAGAAUCACCUUUACCAAAAGGAGAGAGAGGUUCCACCAAGAUUUGCCCAACAUGGAACUUUUGAGUUUGAGUAUUCUCAGAGGUGGAAAUCUUUGGAUGAGAUGGAGAAACAGCAAAGGGCACAGGUAGAGAAAAACAUGAAAGAGGCAAAAGAAAAGCUUGAAAGUGAGAUGGAAGAUGCAUAUCAUGAGCAUCAAGCUAAUCUCUUGCGUCAAGAUUUAAUGAGGCGUCAAGAAGAACUCAGGCGCAUGGAAGAGCUUCACAAUCAAGAAAUGCAGAAGCGCAAAGAAAUGCAACUUAGGCAAGAGGAGGAACGGCGCAGGAGAGAGGAAGAAAUGUUGCUCCGCCAGAGAGAAAUGGAAGAACAGAUGAGGCGCCAGAGAGAAGAGGGUUAUCGUAUGAGUUACAUGGACCCACGGGAACGAGAUAUGCGCAUGGGAGCAAGUCAGAUGUCCAUGGCAGAUCCCUAUGGUGCUGCAAGCCAAAAGUAUCCACCGCUUGGAGGAGCUGGUAUGGGCUAUGAAAACAGCCCUGGGGUAGCACAAGCUACCAUCAGCUCAUCAAUUAUGGGAGGAGACAUGCGCAAUGAGCGCUUUGUCCAGGGGAAUGCAGGGACUCCUAAUGCCCAAGCUUCCAGAGGGAUUGGAACUGUGCCACCUACUGCAGCUGCAGGGGCUGGAGGCUAUGGGAGGGGGAGGGAAGAAUAUGAAGGGCCAAACAAAAAGCCCAGGUUCUAGGUUUCCUUCACUUUAAAUCUAAUUCCACUGUUUAUUUUGUUAAAUUUUUAACUCUUGCAUUUUAGUAAGAAGCAUUUUUUUAUGGAUGCUCAGAUGCUUGACCCAGUAUUUGUGAAGCACGUUAAUAGUCUAAUACUGUUCUGGUAAAUGUUUCACAAAGCUUUCCCCUUCCCUUAUUUUAUGGCAGUGUUUUGAUUUUUUUUUUUUUUUUUUUUUUCUCCCUUGUACCCUUUUUUUAUUUAACUGUGCCUGUAAAGAACAGCAGCUGUAGUAUACUCCAGAGACUUUUUAAAAUCAUUGAGCUGAACAUAAAAUGUAAUUUUCAAGACAACCAGCAAGGCUUGCUUCAGUGGGUUAAUUCUGUGAAAGGCUUCAAAAUGAUAUAUGUGAAGCCAACCCAAGUCUGCUAUAUUUGUUCUCUAUAAAGACUGGAGUCUUGCAAAGCUGUGUUUUUCUGUAUAAAAGAACUUAUCUGCAAAUGCCAGUAGGUUUGAAGGGCAGGGCUUGAAAUAUCCUUUAUUCUCCCUGUGAUCUGAGCAUUUUGUGGCCUGGAAGAAGCUUCAAAAAACUGUCUUUGUAACAGGCUGUAUUAACUUCUAAAUAAAAUGUCAAUAUGGAAAACUUUGUUUUUGGGAUGGGUAACUUUUUUGUGGGGCUGCAAUUUUGUGAGCAAUUGGAUUGAGAGGCUUAGUCUGGGUGGUGUUGCAUUUACAAAAUGCAAUGAUUCUUUAUUCAAAGGGUUGCCAGCACUCUGAUUAAAAACCAUUAAACACUUAAUAGUAGUAAUGUGCUUUGGUACUCUUUAUCUGCACAAUCCUUUAUUCUGAUCUGAUGGAUCAUUGUGUGCUUAUGUUGCACACUUGUAAUUUCAAUAGAUAUAGGAUUAGCCUUAUCAGGUGGGCCAAAAGCACUCAACAUAUGAUCACAAAGGACGUUUUUUGGUGUGCAGAGACUUUAAAUUUUAAGAAGGGUUAGUAUGUUUAGUAUACAAGAAUUGGUUUGGGUCUCCAUUCUUUUGAAAUAUGAGCAAGACCUGGGCUGAAAUAAAGAUUCAUGAACAGUGUGGUAAUGGUGUUAUGGCUAAGUAGAUGCUUGGUAUAUGAAGUAUCUUUAUCAUAGCAUAGUUUUUUUUUUUAUUGCCUAGUACAUCAUGGUGUAAGUAAUGUUAACCUAAUUGAUUUUUGCAUUAGAACAAGAAAGCAUCUAUUGAGAAGUGAUCAAUAAUAAAAUUGGACAAAAUCCGGCUUGGGUUUGUCUAUUCCCAUGCAACUCAUUCAUUUAGUUUCAUAACUAAACAUAACUUAAAUGCUAUAUUGGCAGCUAACUAUCAUGCUAGGUUCAAUAUCCCAUGCAAAUACAAAAUAUGAACCUAAUAUUUUGAAAUAAAUGGCCAGUGUUAAGUUACUACAUAUAGUUUGUAUAUCUAUAAAAUGAAUAUACAAAUAUAUCAAAUUCAAAGCACCAUAAAGGGUGCUAUAUAAGUAAGAUCUCUCCCAUACUGCUGAGUUGGAAAUAACUCAAUGUCACCUUGGUGGAAAGAACCCCAUUUUUAUUGCAGAUUAAUAUUUGGUUUUAAGAUUGGUUGGUGUUGGCUGAAAGUAAUACAAAAAUGGAAAUAAGGUUUACCAGGUUUCUAGAUAACCUUAAAAUAAACUUUUGUAUUGGUUAAAAAAAUCCCUUAUCAGUUGAAUCCUGUAGGGAUGUUUUAAUUUGUCACCUGCACUAAAUAAAUGUGCAGAAUGGUGCUGUGACAUUCAAACAUUAACCUAAACUAGUGGUCCUUGUUUCAGUCCUUCAUCUGUACAGUUUUUUGUUGGCAGCCAGAGACUUGGGAAAUCUUCAUGGUAUAUGAUAUUAAUGAAGUUUUAGCCACUUCAAUUGCCCUUUACAAUCUUAGUGACCGUCUGUAGCAAGCAUUUCUGCAGUGCAUAACUUUGAGGAACAUAGUGCUACCAUUGGACUGUAGGAUCCCGGAUGUAGUAAACCUGCUUGCUUCAAGAUUCUCAUUGCUGACAGCCUCCAGGUGAUAAAAGUGGGCAUUGGUUAGGAUUCGCUACAAGUUCCUGUAACAGGUUUAAAAUGCAAAUAUUACACUGAGUAAGCUUCUUUUGGACAGCUCAAACCAUGCCCGUGCCAUAAGGUGCAACAUAGAAAUUGGAAGUGGAAUCUGGAAUUUAUUUAUUUUUUCUUCAAAAUAAAGUGAUCUUAAUGGUA